rnacentral:rRNA from 1 species
GACGAACGCUGGCGGCGUGCUUAACACAUGCAAGUCGAACGGAAAGGCCCUGCUUUUGUGGGGUGCUCGAGUGGCGAACGGGUGAGUAACACGUGAGUAACCUGCCCUUGACUUUGGGAUAACUUCAGGAAACUGGGGCUAAUACCGGAUAGGAGCUCCUGCUGCAUGGUGGGGGUGGGAAAGUUUCGGCGGUGGGGGAUGGACUCGCGGCUUAUCAGCUUGUUGGUGGGGUAGUGGCUUACCAAGGCUUUGACGGGUAGCCGGCCUGCGAGGGUGACCGGCCACAUUGGGACUGCGAUACGGCCCAGACUGCUACGGGAGGCAGCAGUGGGGAAUAUUGCACAAUGGGCGGAAGCCUGAUGCAGCAACGCCGCGUGCGGGAUGACGGCCUUCGGGUUGUAAACCGCUUUCGCCUGUGACGAAGCGUGAGUGACGGUAAUGGGUAAAGAAGCACCGGCUAACUACGUG